AGAGUUUGAUCAUGGCUCAGGAUGAACGCUAGCUACAGGCUUAACACAUGCAAGUCGAGGGGCAUCAGUUUGGUUUGCUUGCAAACCAAAGCUGGCGACCGGCGCACGGGUGAGUAACACGUAUCCAACCUGCCUCAUACUCGGGGAUAGCCUUUCGAAAGAAAGAUUAAUAUCCGAUAGCAUAUAUUUCCCGCAUGGGUUUUAUAUUAAAGAAUUCGGUAUGAGAUGGGGAUGCGUUCCAUUAGUUGUUGGCGGGGUAACGGCCCACCAAGACUACGAUGGAUAGGGGUUCUGAGGAGGAAGGUCCCCCACAUUGGAACUGAGACACGGUCCAAACUCCUACGCGAGGCA
rnacentral:rRNA from 1 species